rnacentral:sRNA from 1 species
GCCACAUCGGUAGACUGGGAAACUCAUCAAUUAUAAAAAAAAUCCCGAGACAACCUUCUUAUUUCAAUGGCGGGCCACACUUCUUCGGAAGACACAAACAGUGGAUUACAAAGAUUUAAGAGAACUCAAAACUUGUCAUACGGAGUUUCAUCGCAUCACCGAUGUGGUUUUUUU